GUGCCCCUCCCGAGAUCAGGCUCUGGAUCCGCCACUGGUAUAUAUAUAGAUAUAUAUCUAUAGAUAUAUAGAUAUAUAUCUAUAGAUAUAUAGAUAUAUAUAUACCAGUGGCGGAUCCAGAGCCUGAUCUCGGGAGGGGCAC